GGGACUGUGGUGCAAAUGGUAGACACCGCAGACUGGGAAUAGUGUACAUAAUAUCCAGUUAGCAUAGUGCAGGUUCAAUUCCUGCCAGUCCCA
rnacentral:tRNA from 1 species